UAUCUUCCUAGCUGUAGAUUCCUGACCCACUUGGGUUGGUGCACAAGGAAGCAAGAUGAGCCUUCUCCAUCUCCUACACACUCUGAAAUAAUCUGUCAGAAGAUCCUCAUCCUGCCGUGCUGGCUUACUCUGGAUCAAGAGACAAAGACUCCAGCUCUAUCUCUGAUGGACCGAGUAGGAAGAAUCAGCAUGAGUCAACCCACCAGGUUUCCCAGAGCUUAAUCCAGAAGGGACCCAAACACUAGGGAUAAACUGGAGAUGUCCUCCUGAGCAACCUUGGAAACCACAUAUUGAAGAUGGUCUCUGAAUCACCCCUGGCCACCUGACUGGGAACACCAAAUAGGAUUGCUACAUGAGUGAAAAAUAAACAAUUUCUGGGCUGAGUCACUGAGACUUGUUUAUCUGUUCCAGCUGCUGGAGCUACCUUCACCAAUACAGGGGUAAUCAUAGUACCUUUUACUGGGAGGAUUAAGUGAGAUAAUGCUUACUCAACUGCCAGGUACACGGUAAGCACUCACCAUCAUCAACUUUUACUGUAGCAAGGAAGAGUUUACAGACCUG
rnacentral:lncRNA from 10 species